rnacentral:rRNA from 1 species
CCUACGAGAGUCAGCAGUGAGGAAUAUUGGUCAAUGGACUCGAGCCUGAACCAGCCAAGUAGCGUGAAGGAUGACUGCCCUACGGGUUGUAAACUUCUUUUAUAAAGGAAUAAAGUGAGGCACGUGUGCCUUUUUGUAUGUACUUUAUGAAUAAGGAUCGGCUAACUCCGUGCCAGCAGCCGCGGUAAUACGGAGGAUCCGAGCGUUAUCCGGAUUUAUUGGGUUUAAAGGGAGCGUAGAUGGGUUGUUAAGUCAGUUGUGAAAGUUUGCGGCUCAACCGUAAAAUUGCAAUUGAUACUGGCAGUCUUGAGUACAGUUGAGGUAGGCGGAAUUCGUGGUGUAGCGGUGAAAUGCUUAGAUAUCACGAAGAACUCCGAUUGCGAAGGCAGCUUACUAAACUGCCACUGACAUUGAUGCUCGAAAGUGUGGGUAUCAAACAGGAUUAGAUACCCGAGUAGUC